rnacentral:misc_RNA from 1 species
AUCUUCUCAACACUCUCCCGCUCUUCCUGACUCUCACGGUCUGCUACCCUACGCUGUGCAUCCCUCACGCUCCGUCGCAUUUCUCCGACCCACCAGCUCAUCACAAUACUGAAGGCGCACUCGGGUCAGCGUCUGGGACUUCUUUCCCACGUGCACCCCGUAACUCCCCGGUAAAGCAGCGCUGCUCGCGUGUCCACGAGGGCACGAGAGAGAGAGGGAGAGGCGCACUUGAAUUGAAGUAGUCGUAGCUGGGGCCGCUGACGCCUUGCCUUUCCGCCGUGACCACGUUCUCCGACGCGGCGCCGGUGCGUGGUGGCCUCCGAACCCAGCCCUCCGCUUCCUGCUUCUCGGUGCGAGUGAGUUCGCCUCCUCGUCGGCCCCCUUCUCCACUCUCCUUCCCUCUGUGUAGAUAGGCCCCUCGCCAAGCACGUGUGUGCUGGGCAGCGUUGUGCUUCGCCGCGCAGUUUUCUUGCUAUUUCUUUUGCCAUUUUGUUUGUGCCGCCGCUCCGCUAUCUGCGGUCGGUAUCUCUCGCGCCUGUGCGUUGGACCGUGGAACUCCCCGCUGCCCUCUUACGCCCUCGUGCCUCUUCCUCCACUCUCUCCUCCGACGCGACGCUCUUUCGUUGCUGUCAGGUUGGCGACAUCGCAUGUGCACUGCAGCGCCCGUGUAUUCUCUUGUGCACUCUGUCUUUCCUCCGCCGCGGUGCUACCCAUUUCGCUAUGGCGAUGCAAAUCCGACCAUCCCUCGGCGGGUGCCUCCGCCACGGCGGUGCCGGUGACCAUGCUGCCCGUCGGCUGUCGCGGUUGCGCGCUGCAAAGGUCUUCGUGCCGACUGCUGUUGUGUGUGUCUUGCUGUGCUGCGCACCGUGGGUGAUGGCGGAGAUCACCAACGACGCCGAACGGGAGCCGGUAUACAUUCUGAACGCCAUGUAUUCGACCGAGGCAUACACCAAUGAAGACGCCAAGGCCCUGUGGACAGGCAUGGACAUGGCUUUCUACAACUCCCACUACAAGGCUGCCGGCGGGCGCCCCAUCAAGAUCCUUCAUCCCGACCCUGACCAGGACAACUUGUAUGACAUAGCGGAGGUGAUACUUCACUCCCUUGCCCGUCAAGAGAAGCUGCUCGCCGUGCUUGGGCCGUACUUGGAUGGACGCCUUACGGCAGCCCUAAGUAAUGCUGAUGUGGUCCAAUCUGGGCUGAUGCUGAUCGCUCCCUUCACCGGCUCCUCCGGUGUGCGAACCUGGAGCGACUCCGUGUACUUCACCCGCGCUGAGCCGAUGGUGGAGCUCAAGGUUGUCCUUAUGCACAUUGUCAACAGGCUCCGUGCUCGCCGUGUUGCCUUCAUGCGCUUGACCGGUAUGCAUUUUGGCGGGGAGGAGCUGACGUACGUGCAGGACACGCUCACGUCCCUGUUGCGCGACCCGGCCGUGCUAUAUACCGUGCCGUACUCCGAGAGCAGUGUGGAAGUAGAUGAGGAAGCCUUUGACGCGAUGGCGGACACGAACCCGCAGGUGAUCAUCGUGUGGGCUGCGCCCGUGCAGCAGGUGAUCUAUUUCCUCGAAAAGGUGCUGACAGACCCGCGCACGUCGUCGGCGUACGUCAUCUCCUGCUCAAUGAUACAGCGGGUCGUGUUUGAUGUGUACAAGCGUCUGCUCAGCGCGGGCAGCAUCAAGCCGCAGGACGGCCGGAUCCUCGCGAGUGCCACGACGUCCCCCGUCUCUGGCGAGGGGCUGAAGUACAUGGAGGUGCUCAAGGCGCAGAUGAGCAACUACAUAGAAAACUCCGGCAGUUUUGACUACUACCCCGAUGACGACAGUACGGAGACGCUGGGGCGGAAGGCACGGUCUGAGGCGCCGCUUUCCAGAAAGUACACGGUGGACGAGUUCUUUCAGGCGCACCCGAGUAUAGCGAAAUUGAUGGCGCUGGGGUGGCUAUCGGGGACGCUUGUGCAGCAGACGCUGGAGCAGACCGACUGGAUUGUGAACCGGUCGACGUACAAGGCCGGACUGUUCAACCAGAACCGGUUCGUCAUCGGGGGCGACUACGUGCUCGGCGACUACGGUGGCCCGUGCGAACCGCUCGCUCAGUUCCUUGGUGCGAGUUGCUACUGCAACCAAGGCGGGCACUCCUCGAUCUUGACGGUCUUGCAGAACGCCUCGUGGGACAUCGUGCCGGACUCGAGCUUUAAGUACCCGCAGUCGGAGUGCAACUCAUCGAAAAGUCAGAUCGUAAAGGCGGUGAGUGUGUUGGCGCUUCUAAACCAGGGCUAUCCGAAGCUGAUCGAUGCGGGUAUGCAGCUCAACGAGGUACUACCCCAUGCGUUCGACGAUAACCUCUGCAAGGGGUACAAGGUGAGCUCGAUCUUUCUGAGAGUAGAGACGGCGAAGGCUCAGCAGCUGUUUGACGCGGAGGUGUCGAACUAUUCCGUCGACAUUAUUGCCGGGCCCAUCUUUCAGGCACUCGACGUGGGUGAAAUCUUCGUGUUAAACCCGCUGUACAACCAUCCACAACUGCGGACGGAGAAGCGCAACUACGUGUACCUAAUGCCGACGUUGGAGCAGCAGAUUUACGUCAUGUACUCGAAGAUCGACGCGCUCCGCACCAGAACGGAUGUGUUUGAGGACACGGCCGUGGUGUUGCGCGGGUACUCCGCACAGGAGGUAGUUGAGAUUUCAGAGAUUCUGUUCAAGACGGCAGGCACCUUCAACUUGCCGGACCCGUCCGUUGCCACCAUUUCCUUCACGGACAGCUUGCGUGGCUUACUGUCACCAAGGGCCAUUAACGUUGUCAUUGGCAUGAAGGAUGGCGACAGCGCCCACUUCGCGAACUUCCUUGCCAAGUACACCGAUGUCAUGGUCGUGGUGUGCUUCGAUGAACUGACGAUGUACUACGAGGAGCUUCGGGCGACGUUUUCCGUGCAGCCAACGUCCGUGCAAGCGCGACUGAUGUCGUUCAGCAGUCUGCCACUGUGGACCGACGCGUCGGCCGAAGCAAAGGCUCGCUGGCCGAUUCUCGGGCAUUUUCACAAAAUCUUCCCCGACCCCAUCAACCACACGCCGUCUCUGCUGCGCGACGUGAUCAUCGCCGGCUUCAUUCAGGAGCUGGUUUCCACGACGACUGUGGCGGAGACGAAGUUACUAACGAAUGCGGUGUACAUCAACGGCGGUGUCACGACGUACGGCUUUACGCUCGGCAACUUUGAGUGGGGCUGCACAGCGACAACUAGCGGUGACUCGUGCGUGUACAAGAACUACGGCGCGUCGAAUAUCGAGAUAUUGUCGAUUCAGCGGAUGCUGGACCCGACGGUGCCGCAGCUGUCUUCUCCCAGUACGCCGACGAUGGAGUAUCGGCCGCGCCAGAGAUCGCAUGCGCUGACACCUGCGCAGCGCAACGGCCUGAUUGCUGGCUGCGUCGUGGGUGCUGUGGUGCUGAUUGCCACUUGUACGCUGCUACUGUACUGCUGCAUGGACAACCGCAACAACGACGCCGCGCCGAAGGACGGUGACGAGCCGGUGACGCUGCUCUUCACGGACAUCGAGAGCAGCACUGCGCUGUGGGCCGCGCUGCCGCAGCUGAUGUCUGACGCGAUUGCUGCGCACCACCGUGUGAUCCGGCAGCUGGUGAAGAAGUACGGGUGCUACGAGGUGAAGACGAUCGGCGACUCGUUCAUGAUCGCGUGCAGGAGCGCGCACAGCGCUGUGAGCCUUGCGUGCGAGAUCCAGACGAAGCUGCUGAAGCACGACUGGGGUACGGAGGCGCUGGACCGCGCGUACCGCGAGUUCGAGCUUGCGCGCGUGGACACGUUGGACGACUACGAGCCGCCGACUGCGCGGCUGAGCGAGGAGGAGUACGCUGCGCUGUGGUGCGGGCUGCGCGUGCGCGUGGGGAUCCACACGGGGCUGACCGACAUCCGGUACGACGAGGUGACGAAGGGGUACGACUACUACGGCGACACGUCGAACAUGGCUGCGCGCACGGAGGCUGUUGCGAAUGGCGGGCAGGUUGUCGCGACGGAGGCGGCGUGGUGGGCGCUGUCGAACGACGAGCGCGCGGGUAUUGCGCACACUGCGAUGGGACCGCAGGGGCUGCGCGGUGUGCCGUUCGCCGUGGAGAUGUUCCAGCUGAACGCUGUGCCUGGCCGCCGCCACGCUGCGCUGCGCACUGAGAUCGAGGCGAUCCUGCCGGAUGAUACAGCGACGGACACGGCCUCGAGCGCUGCAGGCGCGCUGCUGUCGUCUGUGGAGACAAUGAGCGACCCUGCUGCUGGCAUUGCCUUCGUGUUGGCGAGCUGCUUUGCGCCGUACCCCGUUGCGCAGCGCGUGCGAGAGCUGCAGCCGCUGCUGAGCAAGUGGGGCGUUGGUGCGCCGCCGCGGAGUCGUCUUGUGAGCGAGGAGGACUACUGCCAGGGGCUGAUGAACCGUCUUGCGAUUCGGAUUGCGACGGUGUCGCAGGCUAGGCUGCGGUUGACGCGUGAGGACGCAGCUGAUGGAAAGUUUAAACUGGCUUCCAGUGAAGCGCUGAAUCCUUUGGCGCGUGAGGGAGACUCUGCUGCCGGCGGAGUGCGGCCGCGCUUACCAGGCUCACCGGUGACAUCGUUGCCGGCGGGUGGCAGCUCUUCGAUGCGUGAGUGGCGUGUGUUCACCCGUUUGAUGAAUGACACUCAGCACCCGUCGGUGACCCAUUUGAGCCAGCAGAGACCUAGCAAUCUGACGAGCUUCACUGAAGCACAGGACGCUGCUUUCCCGUUGAACGCACACUGCGGACCUGAGAGCAGGGUGGAAAACAGUGGAGCGGAUGACGAGGAGAUUGUUAUCGUCCGUGUUUCCCGAAACCCGCAUUAUGCAAGGCACGCCUUCGAGUGAUUGCCCAAGUUGACGGUUGAGCAGGCAUAGGCGUCUGGCAGUUCUAUAUUAUUGUCGGCGCGUCUGUUGCACCGUUGCGCUCUCAUCGUGCGCGUCGCACCGCCCUUGAUAUUGCCACGCGCCUUUCCAUGCGCGGUAACGCUCGUGAACGUAUGGCGCUCGUUUAUGAUAGAGGUCUGGCCGAGUGGGCGCGGGCGCUCAUUCGAUGGUGUGCACGCUUCCCUUUUUUUUGUGCGCUCUCUGCGCUAUUCUUUCAUGCCGCGGGUUGGCACGGACUGUGAAUUCUACGCCGAGGCGAGGAAAGGAAUCAUGCGUGUGGGUGUGCGCGGGUGAAUUAACGGAGAUGGGGCGCCUGUCACCUUUCAUGUUCCUCUCUCUGCGGGCAGCCUUGCGGCGCGCAACUCCGGCAUUCAUCCGGCGCUGCGCCACCGUCCUGGGCCUGCGUGCUUACAACUUAUGGCGCUCUAAUAGUCUUCGUUUUUCGUCUCUUUAUUUUUAUUUGCGUGCACUGGAGCGGCCCGCAGCGUCACGCCUGCGUGUGCGCGUGAGUGUCGGGGCGCUCUUCAUGCUGCGUGUGAAGAAGUGACUUGCGCGCUGUAUUCCUCUUCUGCUUUAGGUCUCGCCUCCACACCUGUCUUACCCCCCUCCCCCUCCCAGAGGGACAAGUGGUGGAGGAGAACGCACAAGUGCAGACCAUGGAGAGUGCCGGCUUCUUCCUUUUUGAGUGUUCAGCUUCGUUGGUGUACGUUAGGAGCCCUCCCCGCUCGCUGAGUUCUCCCCCUCCCUCCCUCUCUGCCCUCCGGACUCAUCGACAGAUGUGCCCCCCAGUGUUUCCGGCUGCUUGUCCGUCGUGCGUGUCUCCUCUGCCCUCCUCCUCCACUGCGCGUGCCCUCAAGUUUUCGUUUGCUGUGUUUUGCUGGAACGUCCCCACCCACAUCCCCCACGGAAUGGGCGCAGUUGUGUACAUACACACACACAUAUAUAUAUAUAUACGUUUGUGCAUCUGGAUACGGGCAGGGGCACUCUUUUUUGUUACUGACCGCCGAUACUCCGCUAGUCUGUAUUUCUUUGCGUCCAGUUCCCUCCCCCGUGUCGGCCGUCGAGGCGGGGCCAGCUUGCCUCUCUGUUGGAGUGUGCGUGUGUUGCUCACCUCUCUUACCAGCAUGCCCUCCCUUCCUCGAUGUCCUUUUCUGCUUUCCGCCUUUUUUUUCAGUUUGCGCAUUUUGGUCGACUUUUUUUUGUAUGCUCUUCGUGUUGUCGAUGUCUCCCCCUCUCCCCCUCUCCCUCCCCCUCUCCCUCCCCCUCUCCCUCUCCCCUCCCCUAUUUGCGUUCAUCGUCUUGGUUUUUUGUUCUUUCCUCUUCGACUAUGUAAACCAACACCCACUUUUCUCUGAACUCUCUAUCUCUCAUUGUCUUCCUCGUCUUCCUUGUCUUCCUCCUUCCCUUCCUCUUUCCCUUGCUCCGUCUCGAGGCCGUCAGUGCGUGUAUGGGUGCGCUACUUGCCCUCCGCCUUUGAUGGUUUUCCUCCGUUUACUGGCCGCGUUGUCAUGAAAACAACUGUUGAAAUAAUGUGUGGCCGCUCUUCUCUGUUUUUUUCUUAUUUGAAUCGGUUUGUGAACUUCAUCGUUUCGCUCUGUGAUUGGCAUAUGCUUCCUCCCCUCCUCUCCUCUCCCCUUCCCUCCCUCCCUCUCAGUGUGGUGUUUGUGGGUGGGGCCUGCUGAAUGUCCUUAGCGUCAUUCGAGGAAUGCAUGCAAGGGACGUAUAAGUUACAACCGCAAUAACCUCCUUUUCCCCUCCCCUCUUCCACUGCACUCGAAGCGCUCGCACCCCACCCUCGUAGAUGCAGAGGGACACCAACACCUUCGCACGGACUCUUAGUGUGUGCUGCAAGACAACCACCCUCGUCACGCCACGGAAACCUCUUCGCCAGGGUACUCUGCUAGCGUUCUGCUCACGCGUCCUCAUAGACGCAAGGGAGGUGUGCCAAAACGACUGUUGUCGACCGUAGCAGACCGUGGGUGGGCAGACUGUAAAUGGCGACGCCGACGAUAUAUAUGUGUGAGCUGAUCCUGUGUGCCCAUAGGUCUAUUGUGCUCAUCCGUUCAUGUGCGGGCGUGUGUGUGUGCGCGUGUUCGGGUGCUUGUGAGACUUCCUGUCUUGUAUCGGUGACUUCCGCAGUCCCCUUGCACAGCUGAAUAGACUCGUCGAUUAUAUCUAUAUAUAUAUAUAUAUAUAUAUUGGAACCAUCGGCCAAGCGCACUAUGCGAGUGCACACGUUUCUCCCCCUCUCUCUGUCUGUGCGUGAGCUUGGUGGGCCCUUUGUUUGGCUCGUUGACAGCACGCCUUCUGGAAGACCUCGUUUCGAUGCUGGCUGCUCUUCUCCUUUCCUCACCCUGAUCUCCUCCCCUCCAGUCUUGCCUUGCGGAAUUUCUUUUUCGAGAAAAACGCUUCGUUUUCGUUGCUCCUUCGUUGCCUUGCUUUCCUCCGUUUUGUACGCAUUUUCCCUCUCAUUUUUUAUCUCCUCUUGUCUUUGCCCCCUCCCCCCCGUCUGUCUCUGUGUGUGUGUGCGUCUCUCCAUCCCCCUCCUCCUCCUCCCCCUUUGUUUUUUUUUUUGUCUGCCCGGGCGGUGAGGUGGACGAGAGGCGCGUGCCAUGGCCUCCUUUUACCGUGCUUCAUUCUAUUUUCCCGCAGCUGUGUGCUUGUUCCUGCAAGCGUGUACAUACAUACAUAUGUGCAUGCAGACCUAUACAUGUAUGUAUAUAUAUAUACAUGUAUAUUGGAUGGUCUUGGCAUCUACACACUGCCAUGAGUCUACGCUCCACUGCACGUGCGCGAUUAUUAAGUGCUUCGGCGUCAUGCUUUCCUUUUCCUUCGCUCCCUUUCUUGUAUCCUUCCCUCCGCCUUUUCUUGUGUCUCGUGCUGCCCCCUCUGCUCAUGUGUGUUACUCAGCAAAUCUCUCCCCUCUCAGCUUCUCUUCAUCGCCGCCUCAACCCCUCUGCACACUCCUUUCCCCAGCCCUCACGCAGGUAGGAGCAUUAUAUCAGUCAUGCCGUAUUGCUCGACAAUGCCUCUACCGUUCACCUUCUCCUUAGCAACCCUGUUGAAGCAAGCAUCGGGUGCGUAGCAGGGGUACACACACAUAUGUGCUUGUGUGCGUGUGCGAGCGUCGCUGCCUCGGCUCUUCUCUCGACAGACACGCUCUACGUUCCUGCUGCACUCCGCUUAGUCGCUGUCGAGUACGAUGAGUCCCUGCAGACGCCCUUUUCGAUUCCGCCGCGGGAAGGCGGAGCAUGGGUGGCUGACGGCAUCGCAUAUAGAGAGAGUCAACGGCGCAUGCACACACGGCGAAAUAUGUGUUUCUGAUGAAGGAGGGAGGCUCGAGGACGGGAAAGCGUCCGGUAAGCACCGAAGAGGCUGCGGUCUUCUUCCAAUGCCCUUCUCUUAUCACACGAACUAGCUCCGCGGAACUCCCCUUUCUGUUGACAUGAACUGUACGCUCUCACACUUUCUUCUGUGUGAGUGUUGCGCUCCCGUUGCAGCGUCCUUGUGGUCGUGAUGCAUGCAACACACAAACACACACAUACACGCACAAGACGCCACGCGUUUUACGCGCCGAGGAUGCACCACCAAAAGCUGGACACUCCGCCCUAGGAGGAAAGUGGGCGCGCCAUUCUGCGAACACGACCCGCGCACGGGGUGUAGUUCUGGAUUCUGGGAGGGGGCUUCACACGACUGAACAUCAACACGCCCCCCCCACACACACACAUCUAAAAAGACGCGGUGCGCGUUGCACACGAUGCAUCCCACUAGCCUCCGUCCGGCGCGCCCUCCCCUUUCACCUCUCUCAUUCUCUUUCUCCGUAGCGGCACCGUUCCUGCAGAAAAGAGACCGACAAGGUGGGCUUCGAACCUCGCACGCAGUUCCUUCGCACGACUCUCCGCGAGUACAUCCCCGGCACACACCCUUCGCGAGGGACUGGCGUGAAUCCUAUGUCUCGUGUUCUGCCCGUCACCAGAACAGUAAGUCCGACACCACACAACACCUUUAGAACCUACACCAAACUCCUGGUGAACGCAAACCGCCUGAGCGCAUAAUCUGUACCACACGCAACCACUUGAACCACCUGCGACCCUACUGCUUUAUCAAGAUGACACGCGUACAGUACGCACGACUGUUUGCACAGCACAACAAACACGCCGACAGCUGUUCGGGAGGCCGUUGCGCCGCACCGCUCCUCUGCACCACCUCCGCCGCACUCUCUGCCCCGCCUCUCUCUCUCCUCUCUCUCCUCUCCCGCGGUCUCUCCUCCCACCACCGGCACACGCUGCCGCCGCUUGCCUGCCCGCCGCGCGCAG